rnacentral:rRNA from 1 species
AUUGAACGCUGGCGGCAGGCCUAACACAUGCAAGUCGAGCGAGCGGCGGACGGGGGAGUAAUGUCUGGGAAACUGCCUGAUGGCGGGGGAUAACUACUGGAAAAGGUGGCUAAUACCGCAUACCAUCAGAUUUGCCCAGAUGGGAUUAGCUAGUAGGUGGGGUAACGGCUAACCUAGGCGACGAUCCCUAGCUGGUCUGAGAGGAUGACCAGCCACACUGGAACUGAGACAGGGUCCAGCCUCCUACGGGAGGCAGCAGUGGGGAAUAUUGCACAAUGGGCGCAAGCCUGAUGCAGCCAUGCCGCGUGUGUGAAGAAGGCCUUCGGGUUGUAAAGCACGUUCAGCGGGGAGGCGUUACCCGCAGAAGAAGCACCGGCUAACUCCGUGCCAGCAGCCGCGGUAAUUC